UCCUACGGGAGGCAGCAGUGAGGAAUAUUGCGCAAUGGGGGAAACCCUGACGCAGCAACGCCGCGUGUGGGAAGAAGGCCUUCGGGUCGUAAACCACUUUUGCACGGGACGAAAAAGGGAUAUCGAACAAAUAUCCCCGAUGACGGUACCGUGAGAAUAAGCCACGGCUAACUCUGUGCCAGCAGCCGCGGUAAGACAGAGGUGGCAAGCGUUGUUCGGAAUUACUGGGCGUAAAGAGUCUGUAGGUGGUUUGUCAAGUCUUUGGUGAAAGGCCGUAGCUUAACUAUGGGAAUGCCAAAGAGACUGGCAGGCUGGAGGCUGGGAGAGGGAAGCGGAAUUUCUGGUGUAGCGGUGAAAUGCGUAGAUAUCAGAAGGAAGGCCGGUGGCGAAGGCGGCUUCCUGGAACAGUCCUGACACUGAGAGACGAAAGCGUGGGGAGCAAACAGGAUUAGAUAC
rnacentral:rRNA from 1 species